rnacentral:rRNA from 1 species
UACGUAGGAGACGAGCGUUGUCCGGAAUCACUGGGCGUAAAGCGCGUGUAGGCGGAUGGGCAAGUCUGCUGUGAAAGCUCCUGGCUUAACCGGGAGUGGUCGGUGGAAACUGCCAAUCUGGAGGACGGUAGAGGUAGGUAGAAUUCCCGGUGUAGUGGUGAAAUGCGUAGAGAUCGGGAGGAAUACCUGUGGCGAAGGCGGCCUACUGGGCCGGACCUGACGCUGAGACGCGAAGGCGUGGGGAGCGAACAGG